AAAGAUUGUGUAACGGAUGAAGAAACUAGCCUCCGCCUAAACCACAAGGACUUCUGGGAUCAUCCUGUUGGUAAUUAGAAUGUCACCACUUUCUUCUUCUCCUUUCUUGUUUACUAUCAGCAUUCUCUUGCCCCAUGCCUAGUUGCAGCUGGCUAUACGGCCGUUUGAUUACAAGUCAGAUUUCUCAAUUUCAUUUUAUUAUUACUUUUGCAGUUCAGUGACAACAUGUUUGUGUUAUGGGCCUGUGGGUCAUGAGCAAAUAAGAUCCCCCAAGAGGACAAUGAAGAUUAAUUAUCGCACUUGGAAUGAGGAGUGGAGAGGCUGAUUCGAGAGAGAAGAACCCUGCUGAAACCAACUCUCAUCUGUAAAUCUAGGAGAGUAAACUUCAUGAGCCCUGAGAGCAUGUUCAAAAGUAUACUGUCUUCAUUAAUG
rnacentral:lncRNA from 1 species